rnacentral:tRNA from 1 species
GGCAGUGUAGUGUAAUGGGUAAGGAACUGGGCUUGUAACCCAAAGGUCAUAGGUUUGAUUCCAGGACACUGCCG